rnacentral:rRNA from 1 species
UACAGAGGGGGCAAGCGUUAUUCGGAAUUAUUGGGCGUAAAGGGCGCGUAGGCGGCUUGGCAAGUGGAUGGUGAAAUCCCUCGGCUUAACCGAGGAACUGCCAUCCAGACUGCUUUGCUUGAGGCCGGGAGAGGUGAGUGGAAUUCCCAGUGUAGCGGUGAAAAUGCGUAGAUAUUGGGAGGAACACCAGUGGCGAAGGCGGCUCACUGGACCGGUUCUGACGCUGAUGCGCGAAAGCGUGGGGAGCAAACGGG